AUUGAACGCUGGCGGCAGGCCUAACACAUGCAAGUCGAGCGGAUGAAGGGAGCUUGCUCCUGGAUUCAGCGGCGGACGGGCGAGUAAUGCCUAGGAAUCUGCCUGGUAGUGGGGGAUAACGUCCGGAAACGGGCGCUAAUACCGCAUACGUCCUGAGGGUGAAAGUGGGGGAUCUUCGGACCUCACGCUAUCAGAUGAGCCUAGGUCGGAUUAGCUAGUUGGUGGGGUAAAGGCCUACCAAGGCGACGAUCCGUAACUGGUCUGAGAGGAUGAUCAGUCACACUGGAACUGAGACACGGUCCAGACUCCUACGGGAGGCAGCAGUGGGGAAUAUUGGACAAUGGGCGAAAGCCUGAUCCAGCCAUGCCGCGUGUGUGAAGAAGGUCUUCGGAUUGUAAAGCACUUUAAGUUGGGAGGAAGGGCAGUAAGUUAAUACCUUGCUGUUUUGACGUUACCAACAGAAUAAGCACCGGCUAACUUCGUG
rnacentral:rRNA from 1 species